rnacentral:tRNA from 1 species
GCCCGAGUAGCUCAACGGUAGAGCAGCUGCCUGUUAAGCAGAAGGUUGCAGGUUCAAAUCCUGCCUCGGGCG